rnacentral:rRNA from 1 species
AACGCGAAGAACCUUACCUGGGCUUGAACUACUGGUAGUAAGUCUUUGGAAACAUGGACUGAUCCGCAAGGAAGCCAGCAGAGGUGCUGCAUGGUUGUCGUCAGCUCGUGUCGUGAGAUGUUGGGUUAAGUCCCGCAACGAGCGCAACCCCUACUCGAUGUUGCCACUCCCGCAAGGGAAGCACUCUUCGAGAACUGCCUUCGAUAAGAAGGAGGAAGGUGGGGACGACGUCAAGUCCUCAUGGCCUUUAUGUCCAGGGCUACACACGUGCUACAAUGGCCGGUACAAACCGUCGCAAACCCGCGAGGGGGAGCUAAUCGGAAAAAGCCGGCCUCAGUUCGGAUCGCAGUCUGCAACUCGACUGCGUGAAGCUGGAAUCGCUAGUAAUCGCGGAUCAGAACGCCGCGGUGAAUACGUUCCCGGGCCUUGUACACACCGAUAGC